UUCGUUAACUCAGGCCAGCAGCAGACUCAGAAUGCCUUAGUGAAGUUUGGAAGGAAGAAGAGUGAAUGCAAAUUUGGAAAUGACGGAUUAUGUCCCAGGAAAAAGUAGAAAAAGCAGGCACAUGGAUGUACACACACACAAACAGAGGAGUUUUUCUGUGGUUUCCUGCUUGCUGAAAAAGGAUGGGAGCCAUUUCAUAAGGAUUUAACAACUGAAAUACUUGGGACAAUAUUUCUUCUCAAAACCAUUCAAAUUUGUCACUGUCAACAUGUAAAUGGACUGGGAGAAGAAUGAGAUUCAGCAGCUUUGUUCUAAAUGUACCGUAUCUGAGGAGCUGUUUAUCUGUGUUCAGAACUGACUGCAUUUCAUAGCAGUCAGCAAAGGUUUUUAUGUGUGGAGUAUCUACAUCAGUUCAGAAUUAGGUUCCUUGCAGCCCCAUUAUUCAGAGUUUGAUGGCUUCUAAGAUUUCUUUGUAUGGUAGGAAAAGGUAGAAUGUUUUAAAAUAAUAGCUGUUUAUUAUCAUUUGCAACAAAAUGUUUUUGUUGAAUUGAGAGUUUUAAUCAAAAAUCUUGAAGGACUCUUUUCAAAAUCUACAUAUUAAAAAUUCAUGUUGAUAUCUUAAAGAAUUUUCCUAAAAAAUAAACUUGGAUAGUAUUUUGGGGAAUCA
rnacentral:lncRNA from 1 species